UACGAAGGGGGCUGGCGUUGCUCGGAAUCAUUGGGCGUAAAGGGCGCGUAGGCGGCCUGAUCAGUCGGGGGUGAAAGCCUGUGGCUCAACCACAGAAUGGCCUUCGAUACUGUCGGGCUUGAGACCGGAAGAGGUAAGUGGAACUGCGAGUGUAGAGGUGAAAUUCGUAGAUAUUCGCAAGAACACCAGUGGCGAAGGCGGCUUACUGGUCCGGAUCUGACGCUGAGGCGCGAAAGCCAGGGGAGCAAACGGG
rnacentral:rRNA from 1 species